CAGGCAAACUGUGGGCUUUAGAGACUGAUUCUAGGCACAGACAUGAGGUACAGUGAGUCAUGCAGAAUAGGUCCAAUGAAAUCCUGGAAUUAACUGAUGACUUUUCUUUUUUCUCCUUAUAUUUAACUACUUUAGUUUCUGCCUGAUUUUUCUCAUUGUGUUUUUGUUUUAUAGUUUGUUUGUUUUUGGGUGGGAGAUAAUUCUAAAGAGAUGCUGGUUGGAGCUUUCCUUGGGGAAAGCGUCCUGGAACUGAACUCCUGCUCCUUCUACACGCUGUUCUCAGAUCAUGGUUACAAUGCUCAUUGAGGGCCCCUCGGUUUAAAGGGUUUCAACAACAGGAUAGCCAAGAGCUUCUCCACUAUUUGUUGGAAGCAAUGAGAAUAGAAGAAACAAAGGUAAAAUCUUUGUAUAUUUUCAGUGAACUAUCUUGAAUUGACUGUAGAUCAGAUGUCACCUUUUCACACACUUUGUUUUCUCUGUUUAAAAUCUACAUAUGAAAUAACUACUAAGGCUUGUUUCUACUAUUUUUCAAAAAAGCAACUUGAUUACUGCAUUUUCAUUUUGGUAGUUUAAAUUUGUUGAUCUGGAUACAGAUUUCAGUUGAUUUGUUGAUGGGGAUAUCAUAAAUGGUGGUGGUUAUAAUUUUACAGUGACUUUGGAAGCACCAUUUUAGGAGACUGAUUCAUCUAUAAUUUCUUAAAAAAUAUACUUUUUAAGUGGUAGGGUAAAAGUCAUGUCCCUAGCUCAUUUGGUAAAAUCUACUUCAGGAUAAAACUUCAUAUACUGCCCUACAUCCAGGGAGCAAUUAGUUUAUGUUAUAAAACUUCACUGAAACAAAUUUGAUUGGAAAAAAAUUAAAGCAAAAAUAUUAUCCAAGUUUCUAAUGUCUUUUAGGAGUGUUCUAAGUGAAGAAAAAUUGCUUGUUUUAUAAAUGAAAGUAUACUUCCCAUUACUUAACAAAUCUAGAUCCAGUACUAAAAUAAAUAUAUA